UUGAAAGACGUUAAUUUACACAUUAAGUUCCAGUGGGGGUUAUCAAAACUGCUUUGGGUCCACAUAAUAAUAAUAAUAAUAAUAAUAAUAACAACAAGAAGAAGUCGUAGGUGGAACAGAAGGGCAAAUGAUACAGUAUGACAUUUACUGGAAUAAAAUCAGAUACAAGAAA